rnacentral:rRNA from 1 species
GGGCCCGCACAAGCGGUGGAGUAUGUGGUUUAAUUCGAUGCAACGCGAAGAACCUUACCAGGGUUUGACAUCCUGCGAACCUCUUGGAAACGAGAGGGUGCCUUCGGGAGCGCAGUGACAGGUGGUGCAUGGCUGUCGUCAGCUCGUGUCGUGAGAUGUUGGGUUAAGUCCCGCAACGAGCGCAACCCACGUCUUUAGUUGCCAGCAUUUAGUUGGGCACUCUAGAGAGACCGCCGGUGAUAAACCGGAGGAAGGUGUGGAUGACGUCAAGUCAUCAUGCCCCUUACAUCCUGGGCUACACACGUACUACAAUGCUACGGACAAAGGGCAGCAAGUUCGCGAGGACAAGCAAAUCCCAUAAACCGUGGCUCAGUUCAGAUCGUAGGCUGCAACUCGCCUACGUG